UACGUAGGUGUCAAGCGUUAUCCGGAUUUACUGGGCGUAAAGCGUGCGUAGGUGUCUUGUUAAGUCUUCGGUGAAAUCUCCGGGCCCAACCCGGAAACUGUCGAAGAUACUGGCAGGAUCGAGUAUGGCAGAGGCAGAUGGAAUUCCAGGUGUAGGGGUAAAAUCCGUAGAUAUCUGGAAGAACACCCAUGGCGAAGGCAGUCUGCUGGGCCACUACUGACACUGAGGCACGAAAGCGUGGGGAGCGAACGGG
rnacentral:rRNA from 1 species